rnacentral:rRNA from 1 species
CGUAGGGUGCGAGCGUUGCCCGGAUUUAUUGGGCGUAAAGGGCGCGUAGGCGGUGAGAUGCGUCCGUUGUGAAAUCGCCCGGCUCAACUGGGCGGGGUCAGCGGAUACGGUCUCACUCGAGCAAGCUAGGGGGCAAUGGAAUUCCCGGUGUAGUGGUGGAAUGCGUAGAGAUCGGGAAGAACAUCGGUGGCGAAAGCGCUCUACUGGACUGCAACUGACACUCAGGGACGAAAGCUAGGGGAGCGAAUGGG